rnacentral:lncRNA from 1 species
UAUUCUUAUGAGCUUGUGGGCUCCAUCUACCAACCUCUGGGCAAAUGCUCAUCUGACUUCCAUAGACACACAGCAAGCAGACAACCACACAAAGAGGAAGAGGGAGAAUAUUUACCAGCCAUGGAACAUCUGCUCUGUGCUUAUAUCUCAUAUGCAUUAUCUCUAAUUAUCAAAAGAAGGUAUUAUUAUUAUUAUUGUUCCGCAUUCACAGAUGACAAACUGAAGAUCAGAUUGGUUAAAUACUUGUCCAACAUUAACUUAGCAUUUGGGCAUCAUAGUUGGAAUUAAAACUUGGGUCUGCUCAUCUCCAAAAACACCCUAAGCCUUACCACACUCAUGGGACACAGCUGCAGCUGCAGGUUCUGAAAGGAAAACUAAAACUUCAGAACCCAGUUCACUAUGCCAAAAAGGCAAAAAAAAAAAAAAAAAAAAAAAGCCAAAAGCUGAGUCAUGCAAGAAGCUGACUUUCCUUUUGCUCCUAAGUAGAUAGCUACAGAUAAAAGGUUAAAUAGCUCCACAGGUAGCUACUGUAUGUUCACCUUAUCUUACGUAAACUGCUGAUUUAUUGAGCAUGAGACAAAUACGUAAUUGACUAUCCCCUACCUACUCCGUUUCCUUUGCAACAUGUGGAUUCAGUCAUGUGACCAUACACUGCCUUUCUCCUCUCCAGCCUACUUUUCCACUUUAAAUAUCAAAGCCCUCAAAAUCAUCUUUGGAGAAAGGCACAGACUAGCGACUGUUUCUGUGAUUUCGUGUCUUUUUACUUCCAGACAUGUCCUUAACCUUGGCACAACAAAUCUCUAAAUCGAUUGAGACCUGUCUCAGAUACUUCUUGGUUUACAAGAUGGAGGCUGAAAUUAAAGAGAAAGAUCCUCACUCAACUCACAGAGGAGCAGAAUGGGAAGAGGACUUAGUGAGAAUUCCCUGAACACAGGAGAAAACCGAAGCCCAGAGAGUGGAUGGCCAAGUCCAAGGUCACACAGCCAAGUGCAUCCGAGCAGCGCAGGAUCCAGGUUUCCUGCCCCAGUGCUCUUUCUGCAGCCCAUGCCACCUGUUUUCAUGCUAUCUCAGUUCACCUUCCAGCUACACACCUGCAAUCAGAAACAGAAAGUCUGAGAGUGUGUGUGGAGCCAAAGAGGGGACAGCAGUGGUGAGGCCAGUUUCAUGUCUUGUGAUUUAUUUUCUCCCUUUCUUUUUGGACUUUAAUCUUAAGUGGACAGCAAUUUGGAACAGUGUCAGCACCUUGUUGGAUUGUGCUGUUUGGGAGAGGUGACACAGAGUAUUUUAAAAGAGCAGGUUAAGAACUUUUCACAAGGAAUCAAUUGAGAGAAAAUAAAAUAGAAACAGACUGUCCCACAUUUGGGCUGAGCACCAAACACAUUUUUUUUUUUUUUUUUGAGACUGAGUCUUGCUCUGUCACUCAGGCUGGAAUGCAGUGGCGCGAUCUCGGCUCACUGCAGCCUUCACCUCCCGGGUUCAAGUGAUUCUUCUGCCUCAGCCUCCCAAGUAGCUGGGAUUACAGGUGCCCACCACCAUGCCAGGCUAAUUUUUGUAUUUUUAGUAGAGACGAGGUUUCACCAUGUUGGCCAGGCUGGUCUUGAACUCCUGACCAAGUGAUCCACCUGCUUCGGCCUCCCAAAGUGCUGGGAUUACAGGCACGAGCCACCGCACCUGGCCUCAAACAAGCUUUUUAAUUGCAUUCAGAAGUGCACCAACUAGGCACAGACCUCUGGCAUGGAGACAGAAUGGGAGGUUCUUGGUGUCUGGCCUGGUCUUGCAGAAAUCAGGGAGUUGUGGGGACCAGGCAGCCACUGUGCAUCAGAUAGGAGUUUCAGCAGCAGGCAACAGAAAGCCUGCCAAUGUAGCUGAAAUAAGAAGGGCUUAUUUUUAUCCCUGAACAGAAGCUUCCAGCACUGGUUCAUCAGAUCAGGGCACUGAGCUGGCAUCCCCAUUUAUACAGUUUUCCUUUCCUUCACCUUUGUAAGAUGCCUGGCACAGCUCUGAGCAUCAAAUAUCUGUGCCAUGUGGGAGCACACGAGGGGACAAGUGGGGAAUAGGGUCUCCUCUGUCCUCUGUCCCCAGGCUGGCUUCUCUCGUGGUAGAAGGACCCCCACAGCACCAGGCCUCAUAACUACCCUGCUGGUAAACUGCAGGUGCUGUCACGGCUUCCUGCCUUCGUAUAUGAAAUGUUCCUUGGCAGCUGGACUGCUGUUUGUUUACCGCACGCACAGCUCUGCUGCCUCUUGGUUACACCAGUGAGCUAUUGCUCCAUGACAAGCCACACCGAAAUGUAGCAAGCACUUAUUGUUGCCCACAUGUGUCAAGUCAGUUGAGUGUUUCUGCCAACCGGGGCCUGGCUUGGCCCACCUUGGCUGAGCUUGCUCUGGUGCUAGGGUCAGCUAGACAGGUCGGCAGGAGACCAGCUGCUCUAGAAGAGCCUGGACAGGAUGAAUUGGUUCUCCUUCCACGUGCAUCUUGCAUCCCUCCAGCCAAGGAUUUGAACCCAGGUCUCGUCUGACUCCAAAUGCACCAAGAGGAUGGAGCCCAGAGUGACACAGAGGAAGAGGCCCCUGGAUGGAUGCAUGGGGAAGGUGAGGCCUGGAGGUGAUAUGCUUGAGAUUACCAGGCUCUUCUGAACCUGGGGGACCUUCUCCUAUGAUAGCCCUGCUCCUCCAGACCCAGCAGGUGAUUUCCCCAAAAGCCGCUUACAGUGAACGCACCUGAUAGCAAUAACUUAAGCAUCCCCUGAGAAUGACCCUUAUGGCAGGUGCAGGUGAAUGUGGUUUGGAGUUCUGAGCUAAGGAAUCUGGGAGUGGCCAACCUGGAGAUUCAUUCCUAUUCCUUAUCUAUGAGGAACAUCUGAGCUCCUGUCCCGUCCUGUGCAACACGGACAGUACAGGGGAUCAAGGCCCUUUGUUUUGGGUUAGGUAAAUGUUGCCAGGUGGACACUGUUGGGGGAGGGUGCUAAGUGAAGAUGCUAUAUAUGCUGCAAGCUUUUUGUAAGUUGU